AGUCUGAAUCAGCUUGUGUGUUAGUGGAACGGUCUGGAAAGUCCGACGGUACAGGGUGAUAGUCCCGUACACCAAAAUGCACAGGCUGUGAACUCGAAGAGUAGGGCGGGACACGUGGUAUCCUGUCUGAAUAUGGGGGGACCAUCCUCCAAGGCUAAAUACUCCUGACUGACCGAUAGUGAACCAGUACCGUGAGGGAAAGGCGAAAAGAACCCCGGCGAGGGGAGUGAAAAAGAACCUGAAACCGUGUACGUACAAGCAGUGGGAGCACCUUCGGGUGUGACUGCGUACCUUUUGUAUAAUGGGUCAGCGACUUAUAUUCUGUAGCAAGGUUAACCGUAUAGGGGAGCCGCAGGGAAACCGAGUCUUAACUGGGCGUUAAGUUGCAGGGUAUAGACCCGAAACCCGGUGAUCUAGCCAUGGGCAGGUUGAAGGUUGGGUAACACUAACUGGAGGACCGAACCGACUAAUGUUGAAAAAUUAGCGGAUGACUUGUGGCUGGGGGUGAAAGGCCAAUCAAACCGGGAGAUAGCUGGUUCUCCCCGAAAGCUAUUUAGGUAGCGCCUCGUGAACUCAUCUUCGGGGGUAGAGCACUGUUUCGGCUAGGGGGUCAUCCCGACUUACCAACCCGAUGCAAACUACGAAUACCGAAGAAUGUUAUCACGGGAGACACACGGCGGGUGCUAACGUCCGUCGUGAAGAGGGAAACAACCCAGACCGCCAGCUAAGGUCCCAAAGUCAUGGUUAAGUGGGAAACGAUGUGGGAAGGCACAGACAGCCAGGAUGUUGGCUUAGAAGCAGCCAUCAUUUAAAGAAAGCGUAAUAGCUCACUGGUCGAGUCGGCCUGCGCGGAAGAUGUAACGGGGCUAAACCAUGCACCGAAGCUGCGGCAGCGACACUAUGUGUUGUUGGGUAGGGGAGCGUUCUGUAAGCCUGCGAAGGUGACCUGUGAGGGUUGCUGGAGGUAUCAGAAGUGCGAAUGCUGACAUAAGUAACGAUAAAGCGGGUGAAAAGCCCGCUCGCCGGAAGACCAAGGGUUCCUGUCCAACGUUAAUCGGGGCAGGGUGAGUCGACCCCUAAGGCGAGGCCGAAAGGCGUAGUCGAUGGGAAACAGGUUAAUAUUCCUGUACUUGGUGUUACUGCGAAGGGGGGACGGAGAAGGCUAUGUUAGCCGGGCGACGGUUGUCCCGGUUUAAGCAUGUAGGCUGGUUAUCCAGGCAAAUCCGGAUAAUCAAGG
rnacentral:rRNA from 1 species